AUUGAACGCUGGCGGCAUGCUUUACACAUGCAAGUCGAACGGGGUGGGGGGCAACUCCCAUUCAGUGGCGAACGGGUGAGUAAUGCGUCGGAACGUAUCCCGUAGUGGGGGACAACGCCGCGAAAGCGGCGCUAAUACCGCAUAUGCUCUACGGAGGAAAGUGGGGGACCUGAGAGGGCCUCACGCUAUGGGAGCGGCCGAUGUCCGAUUAGCUAGUUGGUGGGGUAAUGGCCCACCAAGGCGACGAUCGGUAGCUGGUCUGAGAGGAUGAUCAGCCACACUGGGACUGAGACACGGCCCAGACUCCUACGGGAGGCAGCAGUGGGGAAUUUUGGACAAUGGGGGCAACCCUGAUCCAGCCAUGCCGCGUGCGGGAAGAAGGCCUUCGGGUUGUAAACCGCUUUUAGUCGGGAAGAAAAGGCAUCUCCUAAUACGGGGUGUUCUUGACGGUACCGGCGGAAUAAGCACCGGCUAACUACGUGCCAGCAGCCGCAGUAAGAC
rnacentral:rRNA from 1 species